rnacentral:rRNA from 1 species
UGCGUAGGUGGUUUCUUAAGUCAGGAGUGAAAGGCUACGGCUCAACCGUAGUAAGCCUUUGAAACUGGGAAACUUGAGUGCAGGAGAGGAGAGUGGAAUUCCUAGUGCAGCGGUGAAAUGCGUAGAUAUUAGGAGGAACACCAGUUGCGAAGGCGGCUCUCUGGACUGUAACUGACACUGAGGCACGAAAGCGUGGGGAGCAAACA